AUCGAACGCUGGCGGCAGGCUUAACACAUGCAAGUCGAGCGAGCGGCGGACGGGUGAGUAAUGUCUGGGAAACUGCCUGAUGGAGGGGGAUAACUACUGGAAACGGUAGCUAAUACCGCAUUCCAUCAGAUGAACCCAUAUGGGAUUAGCUAGUAGGUAAGGUAACGGCUUACCUAGGCGACGAUCCCUAGCUGGUCUGAGAGGAUGAUCGGCCACGCUGGAACUGGGACACGGCCCAGACUCCUACGGGAGGCAGCAGUGGGGAAUAUUGCACAAGGGGCGCAGGCCUGAUGCAGCCAUGCCGGGUGUAUGAAGAAGGCCUUCGGGUUGUAAGGUACUUUCAGUCGGGAGGCGUUACCGACAGAAGAAGCACCGGCUAACUCCGUGCCAGCAGCCGCGGUAAUAC
rnacentral:rRNA from 1 species